GUCGUGAGAUGUUGGGUUAAGUCCCGCAACGAGCGCAACCCUUGUCCCUAGUUGCUACGCAAGGGCACUCUAGGGAGACUGCCGGUGACAAACCGGAGGAAGGUGGGGAUGACGUCAAGUCCUCAUGGCCCUUAUGGGUAGGGCUUCACACGUCAUACAAUGGCCGGUACAGAGGGUUGCCAAAGCGCGAGCUGGAGCCAAUCCCAGAAAGCCGGUCGUAGUCCGGAUUGCAGUCCGCAACUCGACUGCAUGAAGUCGGAAUCGCUAGUAAUCGCGGAUCAGCAUGUCGCGGUGAAUACGUUCCCGGGUCUUGUACACACCGCCCGUCACACCAUGGGAGCGGGAUGUACCAGAAGUAGGUAGGCUAACCGCAAGGGGGCCGCUUACCACGGUGCGUUUCGUGACUGGGGUGAAGUCGUAACAAGGUAGCCGUAUCGGAAGGUGCGGCUGGAUCACCUCCUUUCUAGAGAUGACCCAUGUCUUCAAGUGUCCACUCUUAUCGGUUGUUGCCGCGUAAAACGAGCGGCCAGCGAAUGCCGGAUACGGGCCUGUAGCUCAGCUGGUUAGAGCACCGUCUUGAUAAGGCGGGGGUCGAUGGUUCGAAUCCAUCCAGACCCACCACUAAGACUGCUCCGGAGCCCAUCGCUGCUUUAGACCCGACGCAGCAAACAAGAAGCCAGGGCCGUUAAGGGGUAUUGAAGCGAGAGGGGCUGUAGCUCAGUUGGGAGAGCACCUGCUUUGCAAGCAGGGGGUCGUCGGUUCGAUCCCGUCCAGCUCCACCACUUAGGAAGCCGGAGGCCAAGCAUCAGCAAAUCCAGCGCAGAGGGCAGACGUAAACGUCGACGUUUACUUCUGAUCUUUGGAUCGGUACCGAGAAGCUCGGUUGUUCUUUAACAAAAUGGAAGAAGUAAAGCGCACACGACGGAACAAUGUCGUGUGCUGGGUUAGAUUGUAUCGAACCAUUUUCUCCUAGUCCGAGAAAGUGGAAAUCGCAAACACCCGUGACAAAGAGCAGCAGUGCUCAGCGUUAUGGGGUCAAGCGACUAAGUGCAUGUGGUGGAUGCCUUGGCGAUUACAGGCGAUGAAGGACGUGGCAGCCUGCGAAAAGCUCCGGGGAGCUGGCAAACAAGCAUUGAUCCGGAGAUGU
rnacentral:sRNA from 1 species